rnacentral:rRNA from 1 species
CAGUAGCCACGGUAAUACGGAGGGAGCUAGCGUUGUUCGGAAUUACUGGGCGUAAAGCGCGCGUAGGCGGCUUUGUAAGUUAGAGGUGAAAGCCUGGAGCUCAGCUCCAGAAUUGCCUUUAAGACUGCAUCGCUUGAAUCCAGGAGAGGUGGGUGGAAUUCCGAGUGUAGAGGUGAAAUUCGUAGCUAUUCGGAAGAACACCAGUGGCGAAGGCGGCUCACUGGACUGGUAUUGACGCUGAGGUGCGAAAGCGUGGGGAGCAAACAGGAUUAGAUACCCGUGUAGUCCCUGUCUCUUAUAU